GAUUGACCUCCGACCCCUAAACCUAUGUCCUGGUUUAUAGGGAUGCUCCCUAAGUCCAUUACCUCAUAGUUUUGACUGAGUUUGCAGGGCAUUGGCCAUACCUGAGAGAGCUCCUGGUCAAUCCCCCUUCAGAAGCUGUCAUAAGAUGCUGUGGGCCAGGGUUCACAAGUCCUGAGUCGACUAUUAAGUCUCCACUCACAGCCUGGGGCUGAAGCUCUGGACUGGGGCUUGUGUCAUCUCUGCCUGCUGGAAGUUGCCUCUUGACUGGAGCUCCAUUGGAGGACUCCUGAGCUCCUAGUUCACAAGGACGACGACCAAGACUACAUCUUCUAGUUGACAUGUGACCAGAAGAAGGCAGACUCAGAGGAUGUGGUGAGGCUCUGGCUGAGUCAGACUUCUGGACAUCAUCACCUUUCACAUCUGAUGGUUGCCUGGAGGUGUGGCACACCUGCAUGUUGCAAGGAACGUUACUUACCGUGGCUAUAGGCAGAAGAGAUCGUGAGACCUGGCGAAGCCGGAGACGCUUCAAGCCCCAAGUUUUUCUUGGUGCUUUGGUCACCCGCCGGGUGGUGAGCUCCUGACUGGUAGACACCAUAGUCUCUGUGUGGUCCACAACUGCCUGAUCUUGGCCACGUUUCCACAGUUCAUAUCGCUCAGGCUGCAAGAUCCUCACAAAGGCGUCCAUGGAGAAGCUCACCCUGGCCUCCCCACAGCUGCACUGAGAUGCCACCUUGCCAUAGUCAAUCCACCUUGGGGUGGCAAAAUUGAUGGCCUCUGCGCAGUUGAAGCCAUGGUUGAAGCCCGCGUGGUAGCCAUAGGGAAAGGUGACCAUGAACUCCCCAGCCUCCUGGGUGAUGCGACCAAAGGGGAUGCCAUUCUCCUUAAGCACAGUGGGCGAGAUGAGCGCCACCUUGUGCCUCAGGAAGGCCUGGCAGCCCUGGGAGCUGCCAGGGAAGAGUUCCCUGGCCAGGCGCUCCAGGCGCCUGCCAUGCUCAGGGGGCACAGCAUACCAGGUCUUGGGCUGCCCAAAGUGUAGGUAGUUGAUACUGUACAGGUCCAUGUCCUCCGUGUGCCACGCAAAGGUGGUCUUCCACAUGCCAAAGUACAGGUAGGGCGUGUUGACGCCCUCAAUCACUAUGCCACAUUCCUGUUCCAAUAGGUCUUGAAUUGUUCCCAGGUGACCCACAUUCCACUGUUGAGUCUUCCCAUCAAACAGGGAGCCGCUGACGUCAGCACCAUAAAUCGGUGACUCAUACAGGCGAUUCUUCCAGUAUUUUCGCUCCAAAUCUUCAAAAUCCAGGUGUGGCGGGGUCUGGUACUUUUUGCUGUUGGCCAGCUCACGGUACUCCCCCACUGUCAUGCCUUUCUUCUUCUUAUGGUAUUGGGUGAACACGCCUGCCUGCCCAGAGACCACUUGCUGCAGGGGAGUUGCUAUUAAGAUGUUGCUGAUAUUGUCAUAAGACUGCCUGGCCCUCCAUUCUUUUGGUGGGAUGACCUUGGCCAGUCCAGCUCGGUGUGCCCCUUGGGACUCCAUGUAAGCAAUGUAUUUGUCAAAAUCAUUAAACUCUUCUUUGGUUGGACGAAAUAUCAUUAUGCUGCAAUUUGGAUUCUGAGCACAUGUGGACUUCGUCUUCAUAGCUUCAAUGUAUACACCAAACUCCAAUAUACACACAGGAUUGAGGAAGGGGAUUUAAAAAAUAAAUAAAGAAGACUUGCUGUGGCUGUGAUGGAGCCGAAUCUCCUGACAGCCUCUGUGCAUGUGAUGGGACUAACUUUUGUUAGGCUUGCUGACUAACCCAGAGCCAGCACUCAGGGCAGCAGCUCAGUCAGGGAGCCUUGGUCUAAUAUGUUCCGUUGGAACCUGGUUCUUUCCUCUUGUAGGCUACUGGGUGCACAGACUGGGGUGCAGCAGAAUCUCUUCAGGGAUGUGAAUAAGACACAAU
rnacentral:lncRNA from 1 species